rnacentral:rRNA from 1 species
CGCGUAAGAACCUUACCAGGUCUUGACAUCCGAUGCUAUUCUAGAGAUAGAAGUUACUUCGGUACAUCGGUGACAGGUGGUGCAUGGUUGUCGUCAGCUCGUGUCGUGAGAUGUUGGGUUAAGUCCCGCAACGAGCGCAACCCCUAUUGUUAGUUGCCAUCAUUCAGUUGGGCACUCUAGCGAGACUGCCGGUAAUAAACCGGAGGAAGUGGGAUGACGUCAAAUCAUCAUGCCCCUUAUGACCUGGGCUACACACGUGCUACAAUGGUUGGUACAACGAGUUGCGAGUCGGUGACGGCGAGCUAAUCUCUUAAAGCCAAUCUCAGUUCGGAUUGUAGGCUGCAACUCGCCUACAUGAAGUCGGAAUCGCUAGUAAUCGCGGAUCAGCACGCCGCGGUCGAAUACGUUCCCGGGCCUU